GAUGAACGCUGGCGGCGUGCCUAAUACAUGCAAGUCGAGCGAACGGACGAGAAGCUUGCUUCUCUGAUGUUAGCGGCGGACGGGUGAGUAACACGUGGAUAACCUACCUAUAAGACUGUGAUAACUUCGGGAAACCGGAGCUACUACCGGAUAAUAUUUUGAACCUCAUGGUUCAAAAGUGAAAGACGGUCUUGCUGUCACUUAUAGAUGGAUCCGAGCUGCAUUAGCUAGUUGGUAAGGUAACGGAUUACCAAGGCGGCGAUGCAUAGCCGACCUGAGAGCGACGAUCAGUAGCUGGUCUGAGAGGAAGAUCAGCCACACUGAGGGUGGGACACAGUAGGGAAUCCUCCGGGAGGGGGGAGUGCCGGACGGAGCGACGCGGGGGGAGGGCUGACGCUGCCAGGCCGGGAGAACGAUGUAAGUAGUGAGAAAGUAAUGUGUUAGUAACGGUGAAGAUCUUGACGGUACCUGGUGAGGAAGCCACGGCUAACUACGUG
rnacentral:rRNA from 1 species